AUUGAACGCUGGCGGCAGGCCUAACACAUGCAAGUCGAACGCGUGGCGGACGGGUGAGUAAUGUCUGGGAAACUGCCUGAUGGAGGGGGAUAACUACUGGAAACGGUAGCUACUACCGCAUACCAUCCGAUGUUCCCAGAUGGGAUUAGCUAGUUGGUGGGGUAACGGCUCACCAAGGCUACGAUCCCUAGCUGGUCUGAGAGGAUGACAAGCCACACUGGAACUGAGACACGGUCCAGACGCCUACGGGAGGCAUCAGUGGGGAAUAGUGCACAAUGGGCGCAAGCCUGAUGCAGCCAUGCCGCGUGUAUGAAGAAGGCCUUCGGGUUGUAAAGUACUUUCAGCGGGGAGGCGUUACCCGCAGAAGAAGCACCGGCUAACUCCGUGCCAGCAGCCGCGGUAAUAC
rnacentral:rRNA from 1 species